rnacentral:rRNA from 1 species
AUUGAACGCUGGCGGCAUGCUUUACACAUGCAAGUCGAACGGUAACAGGCCUUCGGGUGCUGACGAGUGGCGAACGGGUGAGUAAUGCAUCGGAACGUGCCCAAUCGUGGGGGAUAACGUAGCGAAAGUUACGCUAAUACCGCAUAAGCCCUGAGGGGGAAAGUGGGGGACCGCAAGGCCUCACGCGAAUGGAGCGGCCGAUGUCAGAUUAGCUAGUUGGUGGGGUAAAGGCUCACCAAGGCGACGAUCUGUAGCGGGUCUGAGAGGAUGAUCCGCCACACUGGGACUGAGACACGGCCCAGACUCCUACGGGAGGCAGCAGUGGGGAAUUUUGGACAAUGGGCGCAAGCCUGAUCCAGCCAUGCCGCGUGCGGGACGAAGGCCUCGGUUGUAACC